rnacentral:rRNA from 1 species
CGCGUAGGCGGUGGGUUACGUCUGCCGUGAAAUCCCCGGGCUCAACCUGGGAAUGGCGGUGGAAACGGGCUGACUAGAGUAUGGGAGAGGGUGAUGGAAUUCCAGGUGUAGCGGUGAAAUGCGUAGAGAUCUGGAGGAACAUCAGUGGCGAAGGCGGUCACCUGGCCCAAUACUGACGCUGAGGCGCGAAAGCGUGGGGGAGCAAACA